AGAGGUUGUGGCUCAGAGGAAGAGCGUCUGCUUGGUAUGCACAAGGUCCCAGGUUCAAUUCCUGCUGCCUCCA
rnacentral:tRNA from 1 species